rnacentral:tRNA from 1 species
AGUUAUAUAGUUUAAAUUUAAUAAAAUAUUAAUUUUGUAAAUUAAUGAUAAGAAUUUUUAUAACUA